AGAGAGAGAGUAGGACUGUUAUACAUUUAUAAGUAUAGAAUUCUUUGUAUUCAGAAGUUAUUUUAAAUGAUGAGGUUGUCAAAUCAACGAUCCGCACCAUUAAAUAUGAUCUAAAUAUUUAAAAUUUUUAAAAAAUAAAUUCUAUAAAUUUUAGAAAUUAUAAUAAAUACCAUCAAGUAACAUAAAAUGAAUGGUCAAAAUUGAAUUAUAUCCUAAAAAUAGAUGGUUUAAUCCUUCAAUUUAAGAUCGGUGUUAUUGAUCUUUAUCUAGAUAUAUAGUGAUUAUAAUUUUUUAUCAAAAAUUCAAUCAAUUUUGAUUCUUAUACAUAUCGUUAAAAAUAAUCAAUUAUGAAAUCGUUUGAUCGUAAAGUAAAUGAUUCCGAAAAAUUAUUAAACUUGAAUUUUAAAAGUUUCAAAUACUUU
rnacentral:lncRNA from 1 species